UGGCAUUUACAAUUGGUGUGGAGCAACAGCAGAUUCAGCCUGGUGCUUCCUUCCCUUAAGAGGCAGUUAAAAUGUGAAUGCACAGAGAGGUGCCUGUUUCGGAGACCUCAUGAAAACCUGCAGGGGAGUGUUUCCGAGCAUCAAAUGGGAAUGAGCAGCUUCUCCAGAGGAAAGAGCCUGCUGUCGGCGGAGGGUUGGGAUUUUGCCUCUGAGGAUAGCAGAGCUUCCUCGUUUCUGAUCUGGCUU
rnacentral:lncRNA from 1 species